rnacentral:rRNA from 1 species
AGUGAACGCUGGCGGUAGGCCUAACACAUGCAAGUCGAACGGCAGCACAGUAAUACCUUGCUCGUACGGGUGGCGAGGGGCGGAGGGGUGGGGAAUAAAACGGAAUCUACUUUUUCGUGGGGGGGAACGAAGGGAAACUUACGCUAAUACCUUAUACGACGGACGGGUGAAAGCAGGCGAUCUUCGGAAAUUGCGCGAUUGAGUGAGCCGAUGUCGGAUUGGCUAGUCGGCGGGGUAAAGGCCCACCAGGGCGACGAGCCGUAGCUGGUCAGAGGGGAUGAACAGCCACACUGGACCUUAGACACGGUCCACAGCCCUAAGGGAGGCAGCAGUGGGGAAUAUUGGACAAUGGGCGAAAGCCGGAUGCAGCAAGCCCGCAUGGGUGGAGAAGGACUUCGGGUUUUAAAGUCCUUUUUUUGUGAAAGAAAAACAGAGGGUUCUUACCCCGAUGUUCUGACGGUACCCAAUAGAUAAGCAACGGCUAACUUCGUG